CCAGGCGCAGCUGCGGCUGCUCUCUCAGGCACAGGACCCAGGCCUGCCCAUGCCUGCCCCUGGGCCAAUCUGCACACACUUUCUUCCCUCUGAGGUCCAUAAGAACCCUGGGCUCAGCCAGAGGAUGAAGAGGGCAGAGAGAGAUGAUGGGACAGGAUCACCAGCUGCAGAGAGCAGUACCCUAUCAGCUGAGAGCUGCAUAGAUGACUGACUGGCAGAGAGGAGUGACCCUCUCUAUUGAGAGCUUCAGAGACCUGCAGAGACAUCCGAAUGACUUGGCUGCAGAAAAGAGCCACCCUCUUCAGGGCCUCCUCUCUGCUAAGAGCUAUCCACUCCUCUGAGCUGUUCUAACACUAAAUAAAAC
rnacentral:lncRNA from 10 species